rnacentral:rRNA from 1 species
CAGCAGCCGCGGGAAUACGUAGGGUGCGAGCGUUAAUCGGAAUUACUGGGCGUAAAGCGUGCGCAGGCGGUUGUGUAAGACAGGUGUGAAAUCCCCGGGCUUAACCUGGGAACUGCGCUUGUGACUGCACAGCUAGAGUAUGGCAGAGGGGGGUGGAAUUCCACGUGUAGCAGUGAAAUGCGUAGAUAUGCGGAGGAACACCGAUGGCGAAGGCAAUCCCCUGGGCCUGUACUGACGCUCAUGCACGAAAGCGUGGGGAGCAAACAGGAUUAGAUACCCGAGUAGUCCCUGUCUCUUAUAC